rnacentral:misc_RNA from 1 species
UUCUGGUCCUCCUGGUGGAAUUGGAGAAAAUACUGCUAGAAAGUACCUGCGGGAUAUUUUAUCUGGGUUAAUGUAUCUCCAUGCCCAUAAUAUAGUGCAUGGUGAUAUUAAACCUGAUAAUCUGUUGGUUACUCGUUCGGGUACUGUGAAGAUUGGAGAUUUUAGUGUUAGCCAAGUAUUUGAGGGUGAUAAUGAUGAGCUUCGGCGAUCUCCUGGGACACCUGUUUUCACAGCACCUGAGUGCUGUCUAGGGCUGACCUACCAUGGCAAAGCUGCUGACACAUGGGCAGUGGGAGUAACUUUAUACUGUAUGAUUCUUGGACAAUACCCAUUUCUUGGAGAAACUCUGCAGGAUACAUAUGACAAGAUUGUUAAUAACCCUUUAGUGCUUCCGAAUGAAAUGAACUCGCAGCUGAAGGAUUUACUUGAAGGACUUCUUUGCAAAGACCCAAAGCAAAGGAUGACAUUAGAUUCUGUGGCAAGUCAUAAUUGGGUCAUCGGAGAAGAUGGGCCAAUUCCACAGCAUCUAUGCUGGUGCAAGCGUAAUAGCCUUCAAACGAAAUUCGAAACACACAUGACCCUCAUUGAAUCCGAUGAGACUCGUACUGACUAAGAAUUGUUUUCAAGUAUGGAUUUUUUUUUCCAUGUAUAGUAGGAAACCCAGGAUUCUCUUUCAUUUUGUUUUACUCUUUAAAUUUGGCUUAUCAAAUAUGAAUGGAGACCAGUUUUUAGCAAAGUUUUCUGGAAUAUAUGAGAUUUGAGAGACAGUUUUCAUGCUGGUGAUUGAGCUUUUGAAUGAAACAGAAGAAUAUGGAAGUCCUUGGGAUAAGUUUCCAUUAAUAUUUUUUCUUGUGUAUUUGACCUGAUAUUGGGAAUAUGAUAUUUGAGGUG